AUACAUAAGGAGCAAGCGUUGUCCGGAAUUAUUGGGCGUAAAGAGCUCGUAGGCGGUAUCGAAAGUCAGCUGUGAAAUCACCAGGCUCAACCUGGUAGGGUCAGCUGAAACUUCGGUACUUGAGGGUAGAAGAGGAAAGCGGAGUUCCCGGUGUAGCGGUGAAAUGCGUAGAUAUCGGGAGGAACACCAGUGGCGAAGGCGGCUUUCUGGUCUAACCCUGACGCUGAGGAGCGAAAGCUAGGGGAGCAAACGGGAUUAGAUACCCCGGUAGUCCUAGCUGUAAACGAUGGAUACUAGGUGUAGGAGGUAUCGACCCCUUCUGUGCCGCAGUUAACGCAUUAAGUAUCCCGCCUGGGGAGUACGGUCGCAAGGCUGAA
rnacentral:rRNA from 1 species